UCCCGUGUGGCUCAGUUGGUAGAGCAUGGUGUUUGCAACGCCAGGGUUGUGGGUUCAAUUCCCACGGGGGAA
rnacentral:tRNA from 1 species